rnacentral:lncRNA from 1 species
UGAUGAGUUGAGUUGGUGCUUGUGCAAAGACAUGGCAAGAUCUUCAGAGAUUGUAUGAUAAGGCUUUGGGAGAGUCUUAAGGCUUCAGAAGUGGUCUGAUGAGUGUGCAAAGAUAGGGUUAAGUCCAGGAGAGACUUAGACACCAUUUAGAGAAGAUUUGGGUCAGACAGUAACUCCAAAGUUACCACAGUAACUUUGGAGAGUUACCACAGUAAGAUUGGAGAAGUUUAUGCAAGUUGGUGUAAAAGUGAAUAGUGAAUCACUAGUCACUAUUCAGGUUAACUAUUCACUAUUCAGGAUGUGAAGAGUGCAUAGUAUUUGGAUAAGGCACCAAGGUUUGAAUCUAGUCAAAGGGAAUCAAGAAGAUGCUGUGUGGAGCUGAUUGGUUACUUUGGGGUAUGGACAGGCUGGCUGGAGCUGUAAAGAGGAAGGCAGCCACGACCAUGCACCUAGACUGAUCUGUGGACAGAUACAAAGGAGCCUAAGAAGAACCAAUCAAACCUCAGCCUUGGUUUGAAUUAAAGUGAGCCAGCUUAGCCAAUCAGCACACAUCACUCAGAUUACAACAAGACCAACUCAUCCUCACCAUCCAUUCCUCUCAAGUCAUUUCUAUCCAUUAGAUUUAGGUUUCUAAUGUUGCAAACAUGUAAAGCCUAUAUAACGCAUGUGUAUGGACGAAAUUGAAAGCUCUCUUAAGAGAGUAUGGGGGUUUUCCCCAUCUCCUUCAUAAAUAUAAAAGUGUGUUCUUGAUCAGAUUCCCUUAAUCUACCACUUUCUUAAUCUCUAAUCUCUUAAUCUCUCUAAGUCUCUUUGUUUCUGAUUCAAGUUCAUACUAGUUUCAUCAGACCUCUUAUUCAACUAGUUCAAGACCUUAUUCUUUGCCUCUAAUGGCUUCUCAUACACAUACACAGCCAGAGCUCUCAAAUCUCAUAUGGUAUCAGAGCCAAGUUCAUCAGAACCUGAGCUGAGCUUCCGCAAAUCCACAGCUCUCAUCUCAGUUCAAACCAAACCCUUGAAGACAUUACCAGCUGAGUUCAAUUCUUGAAGAAGAAAGAAGCUUGAAGCAUGGAGUGUUCUCCUUAUCUCUCAACCGUGCCUGUCUUUACCUGAUGGAGAGUGUCUCUUUGGAAGCAGAGGAGGAUGGAGAGGCGUCAUGAACCUCAAGCCAAAGCUCCUUGUCCAAGAGCUUAUCACAUCUGGAUACAAGAAAGAUGAAGCUAAGAGAAGCCGGUUUGAAGUAUGAAGAAAGGAGGGGUCUUUGGGUGUGAGAAACAAGAAGGAGGCCAUGGACUGAAGGAGAAGGAGUUGGGUGACGACCUAGACUCUUGCAUCCAACCAUAUCAUGGCCAGAUUGCCUUUGGAGGCUUAAGGAACCAACCUGGUUCCUUGUGUAAGCGAUUCUUUAAAACUUUCUUGAUAUUGAGCUUGUGUUGUGUUGUUGCCUGGUUAUUGUGAUGUGUAUUGAUUGAAAAACCUGAGGAUAAUGUGUGAUUGCUAAAUAUAAUUAGUUGAAUCUGUCCCAGGAUGCUUUAAAGGCUUGUUUAGUGUUUAAAGAGUAAAAUGCUUGUUCCUGUUAAGUAAUGAGUUUGCUAAAUGUGAAAUGGUAUUGUUUGAAGCUCAUGAUCUGAAAACAGAUUGAAAGUAAUGCAUUGUCUGAUGAUAAGUGAUGAUAGUAAUGCUUAACCUAAGUUAUAAAUGAAUGUGUGAUGAAUUGUAUUGUUGCAUUCAUGAAUUAAAACUGGUUAAGGUUAGUGCAUACUGUCAAAUGGCUGUCUUACAUUGAAGCAUUAGAUUCAUGUCUAAAUGCUGAGUAAAGAAGCUUUAAAAUUGCCUAAGUAGCUUGUAUUGAAUCUGUUAGGAUCAUGCUAGUGCUUAGAGAGUUUGCUUGCAAAGAUUAGAACUUGAAAAUGUCUAGUUUAAUCUCUUGCAUUGCUUAAAUACAUUGGUGUUCAAACUUGAUGAUACAUCAAGGGUUAACCCAAUGCACUUGUGUCUUAUCUUUGCUGGAGUUUGAGUGAUGUUUCAGGUUCACAAGAGGUGUUCUUGGUUCACCAUCCAUCCGAGUUGAAAGAGGAAGACUUUGCCCAUUGUGUGGAGCAAUGGAGAGUUGAGAAAGAAGUGGUGAUGCGCCACUGGUGUGAAGUCUCACUGAAGCUCACUUGCAAGCUUGGACCUAUACUCAAUCCAAGCUUGAGGAGGGGAGUUUAGUGAGCUUCCAUGCGAUCCAAGAAGUCCAUUGCAAGCAUCUGAAGAAGGAGCCAUCCGGGCUUAGGCUGUGGCGAGUCUAUUCAAGAGAGUACUCAAACUAAGACAGAGUACUCUUGGCUGUGAGAAGAUGAAGGCAACUCUAUCAAGGCGGCUUCUAGUGUGAAGUGAUUGGAGAGAUAGCUGAAGCUUCCACAAGCAUUCCAUGAAGAUGGCAAGAUCAGAAGAGAAGCGGCAAUGGUGUGUGUGUGAGGAUCAUGAAGUAAUCCAUUCAAGCUUGUUCCUGUGAGAGUCUCAAGCUUGAGGGGGAGUGUUGAAGCUUACAUGAUCCAAGAGAGCUUGGUGGUUAUUCUAGAAGAGGAAGCAACCUGUUGAGAAGUAUGAUGAAGGAUGAAGAAGCAAUAUCCAAGGCGGCUUCAAGUGUUGAGGUGAUUGGAGAGUGGCUGAAGCAUCCUCAUGUAGCUCAAGCAACAAGGUGGCGACUCUAUAAGAAGAAGAAGCAGCCAAGACUCAGUAAGAGAAGUUGUAUCUCCAAGAAGAGGCUGAUCUGGUGUGUCCGAGCACUUCAACCUAACAAGAGGUUAGGUGAAAGGGGGAGAGACCAAGAUUAGGCAGUAAGGAGAGUACAAGGCGUGGGAUGAUUGUAAAGGCCAUGAUCCAGAGUCUUUGUGUCCCUUACAUUGUUCGUAAGGCACAAAGACUCACUGGCCAAUCCCUAGGCCUUGGAGACUUUACUCUUUUUCCCUCAUCAAGGUUUUGUCCCAAAGGGUUUUCCUUGGUGAGGUUUUUAAUGAGGAAGUUCUUCAAGGUUCCAAGCUUGACUUAGGAUCAGCUAGAGUCAAGCUUGAGGGGGAGUGUUAACUUGAAGAGAAGAAGUGGAGAAGCAAAAGUGAUGAGUUGAGUUGGUGCUUGUGCAAAGACAUGGCAAGAUCUUCAGAGAUUGUAUGUUAAGGCUUUGGGAGAGUCUUAAGGCUUCAGAAGUGGUCUGAUGAGUGUGCAAAGAUAGGGUUAAGUCCAUGAGGGACUUAGACACCAUUUAGAGAAGAUUUGGGUCAGACAGUAACUCCAAAGUUACCACAGUAACUUUGGAGAGUUACCACAGUAAGAUUGGAGAAGUUUAUGCAAGUUGGUGUAAAAGUGAAUAGUGAAUCACUAGUCACUAUUCAGGUUAACUAUUCACUAUUCAGGAUGUGAAGAGUGCAUAGUAUAUGGAUAAGGCACCAAGGUUUGAAUCUAGUCAAAGGGAAUCAAGAAGAUGCUGUGUGGAGCUGAUUGGUUACUUUGGGGUAUGGACAGGCUGGCUGGAGCUGUAAAGAGGAAGGCAGCCACGACCAUGCACCUAGACUGAUCUGUGGACAGAUACAAAGGAGCCUAAGAAGAACCAAUCAAACCUCAGCCUUGGUUUGAAUUAAAGUGAGCCAGCUUAGCCAAUCAGCACACAUCACUCAGAUUACAACAAGACCAACUCAUCCUCACCAUCCAUUCCUCUCAAGUCAUUUCUAUCCAUUAGAUUUAGGUUUCUAAUGUUGCAAACAUGUAAAGCCUAUAUAAGGCAUGUGUAUGGACGAAAUUGAAAGCUCUCUUAAGAGAGUAUGGGGGUUUUCCCCAUCUCCUUCAUAAAUAUAAAAGUGUGUUCUUGAUCA